GAAAACAUCUUUCAUAACCAUUCAGAGUAUCACCAAAACAGAGACUGUCUUCUGCCCCUGAAUGAGCAUGAGAAAAGCCUUUCCUAGACAACCAUUGCACCUGUCUCCUAACAUCCAUUAAAAGGUCACACUCAAUGGUUAUAUCAGGCUGCAAUAUAAGGCUGAGUACUUAUCUAUGCCAAGCUGAGGCCAGCUAUAACCAACCUGACUCAGCAGCAGGAGAGUGACUGUAUGCUCUUCUAGGACUUGGAGAACAUUAUUACACUUCCUAUCCAUGGAAAUAUCUAACAGAUGCCAUGUCUUCUCUGAGAAGGCUUUCUACAGGCUGAGACUUCUCGGGGCUGCUGGAUGGAGGCGCGGGCUGGCAGGAGCGGGAGCCCAGAAGCCAAAGCGGUGGCCUUGAACUCCAGGCCAAGAUGCGCAUCUACCAGCGUCGUCUCCCCUCCUCCCUCUACUUCCUCCCAGGCACGCCAGCUGCGGGGCUUUCAAACCGCGCCCUCUUCCUGCUUGAGGAGCUCAAGGAAUCAUUUGACAGAACCUGGAGUCAUCUUUGGUUGUCAUGAUGGGAGGAUGCAGGAGGAUGGAAGGAGUUAUGUGAUCUGUACCUGGCGUGAAGAUAACAAGGAUAUUGAUACACAGCACAGCACAGCCCACUCACUGAACAUAUCCCUACCCUCCCCAAGCCAGCAGUAACAAGGUUGAAAAACCCUGAGGUGUAAGUUGUGAAUUAAAAACUGAGCAAGUUGUGACAAAGUACUGGGACAAUGGAAGGAUGAGGUGGUGCCAGAGUCUUUUGGGAAAUCAGGGAAACCUCACAUGGCCCAUCUCCAUACAAGAUUAAACUUCAAGAAAUUUCUGGGACACUUCUAUGUGCUUUGCAACCUUCUGUGACCAGCGAGAGGCCUGGGGGGAGUCAGUACUUUCCUACUGUAU
rnacentral:lncRNA from 1 species